CCCGCCCCGCCGCUGCUUUGCAUGAGAAAGCGCAGCGCCCGGCCCCCAGAUCUUGCCGCCGCCCCGGCCCCGGGCCCCGCGUCGCCGCCCUCUCGUGCGUCCCGCCCGCUGCUCCUUCGCCUUCUGCGCCAGCCUCCAACUUGGCCUCUCGUCGCCUCCCCGCCUGCGCUCCCUUUCUCGGGGCGUCCCCGGCCUCGUCCCCCGCAGCCCAAGGGCGCCGGGGUUACUGGAAGUUCGGAGACUGGCCGGAGGAAGGGGUGGGCUGGUCCAAGUCAGGCUAGGGGCUUAUCUCCUCUGAUUUUUAUGGCCCGGCUUUGGAUCACUGGCGUCUACGCGGCUCCCCACUGCUUCUGGCGCUGGAGGGACCAUUCAAGGGGACAGCUUACCCCUCUAUUCCCACACUCCAAAAAACAACACUGCAGACAGACACCCUCCAACUAA
rnacentral:lncRNA from 1 species